ACAUAAAGGAAACUUAUGACCUUAAAUCACAAUUUUAAAGGAAGAAAUGUUGAAUUGUUUUCAGCUAAAUAUUCAUCUCACUAAAUUAUAAAAACUGACAAACAUCAGACUAACCCAAAGAAAAUAGAAAAAAUGACACUAUAAAUACAAUAAAAUUGACUAAAAUAAUACCAGUUGAAAUUGACCAAGAAAAGAAAAGAAGUAAGGCCUAAACAACAAGUGUUAUGGAUGAAAGGGGGACGGGUCUCACUAACAGCCCUGAAGACAGCAAUGAUAAUCAGAGGAUGUUAUGAUCCAUUCUAGGUCAAUAUAUGUCAAAGUUUAGAUUAAAAUGGACAAGCUAUAGAAAAUAAAAUAGUAAAAUGAACCAAAUAGGAAAUAGAAAAUUUCAAGAAGUCUAUGAUAUAUAUUUUUUAAUUACUGUUUUAAAGGUUACCACAAAUAAAAGUUACACCCUGAUGAUUUUAUUGGUAAAUUAUAAUAAAUAUUUAAUAAAGGAAUAGCAGUAAUCUUACAUAGACACUUCCAGAGACUAGCAUAAGGAACAAUAUAUCCCAGCUUGUUUGACGAGAUCAGCACAAACUUGAUACAAUCAUCAACCAUCUGACAAUAAUAGUAAAGUUGCAGGUCAAUCUCUUUUAUUAUUAUAAGUAUAAACGACUAAGCAAAAUAUUGACAAACUGAAUCUAUAAUAUAUAAAAACAAGAAUUCAUCAUGACCAUGUUGGGCCAAGACAACAAUGGUAAAACGUGGGAAAUGUCCUUUGAGGUUAGUAUGAAAUAAGUGUCAAAGGGUGACAUAUUCUUUUCACCCUUUUGAAUGUAUCCUUGUGUUCUCCCACACAUGCUUUUCCCCGUGGGAGACUGACUCCUAGGAAUAACAUCAAUGUGUUCUUUCCUCUUUGGCUUCAAGUUAGGUUCAGUCAAUCAGAGGCAUCUCUGGAAGACUGGAGAAAGUAAAAUGAAUGAAUACUUAUUUUCCUGGUUCUUUCCCAGGGGAUCUACAUCUUAUCUUGUCUGCACACUUCAACCAAAAGAAACAGCUGUGUCUCAGAACCCUCUCCACACAGUCUCGUGGACUUAUGUGUUCUGCUUUCACAGAGAUUUCAAAAGACUCCUCAGUAUAGUGGAGAUACAUGAGAAAGCAAGAGUGAUCAGGACAGCCACUGUUUCCCUUUGGACCAUUCCUUCUUGAGGGUAACUGAAGAUGUCAAAUGGCUCACUUCUCAUUGUGGAUCAAAGCUAGUUUUAUCAUCAUGUUGGCAUUUUAUCUUUGUUCUGGUAAGUACGUUUUGUAAUCCUGGUUAGACAUUCUGAUGUCCUAGAAAAUGCAGGCAAGAUUUGAUAUCACCUGGGAAUAAAAUUCGUUGUUCCAUUUGAUUUAAUAUACUUGAACUGGUAAAUAGAAUAAACAGAGGACAAAUGCUCUUUUAAAAUUACAUUGGUACCAGCCUGGCCAACAUGGUGAAACCCCGUCUCUACUAAAAAUAAAAAAAUUAGCCAGGCAUGGUGGUGUGCACCUGUAGUUCCAGCUACUUGGGAGGCUGAGGCAGGAGAAUCAAUUGAUCCCAGGAGGCAGAGAUUGCAGUGAGCCAAGAUCGCCACUAUGCUCCAGCCGGGGUAACAGAGCAAGACUCCAUCUCAAAAAAAAAAAAAUUACAUUGGUGAAUUCCCCUCUCUAUGUUAUAAAGGGAGAAAACUCUACAGUGAAUAUAAAUGCCCAGUGAAUUCUCUUCAAGUGCUUCAGCUAAACUCUUUCCCUAUUUUGGAGGUCAUAUUCUCCAGUAAAAUUUGUUAGGAUAAACCUUCAGAUCUGAUAUUUAUAGUUACAAAUUCUGACAUGAAAGUAUUGUAUCAAGCCAGUCCUCAUUGAUAACUUUUAAGACAUUUGGCCUGCCUUAAAACCCAUGAUUGUCUAUUACUGUCAUUGUGAUGGAAUUAUGUGGGCAUUGGAAAAAGCAGUGAAAAUAGAAGAGAGCUUGACUCUGAGUUCUAGUUAAUUUCCUUUAUAUUUGAAGUAACUGUCAUCCUUAGCCUUCAAUUUCAUCAUCUAUAAAAUGUAGAUAACAAAUAAAAUGGUAUCCUUAAGGGAAGGUGUUGUUGGUUUAAAGCAUGUAAUGUAUUUGAGACUGAGUGAGAUCCGCUGUAAGAAUCAGGACUAUUACCAGUGUUGUAAUCUGACCUUCCCAUACACAGUGAGUGCCAGAGAAGACUCAUUGUAUGGCUUGUAGCUUCCCCCCUGAAAGAGCUGCAUCCAUGUCAUCUUACAAGAGAUGUGGAUAUAUCAUUGGGGAGACUAAGUUAUUUAAUACUUUUCAUUUGUGCAGAUACUGCAUUGUCUGAGUUGCCUGCUGUGUUGGCUGAG
ensembl:lncRNA